UAAGGAAUAUCGGUCAAUGGGCGCAAGCCUGAACCAGCCAUGCCGCGUGCAGGAAGACGGCCCUAUGGGUUGUAAACUGCUUUUGUCAGGGAAUAAACCCCCGCUCGUGAGCGGGGCUGAAGGUACCUGAAGAAUAAGCAUCGGCUAACUCCGUGCCAGCAGCCGCGGUAAUACGGAGGAUGCAAGCGUUAUCCGGAUUCAUUGGGUUUAAAGGGUGCGCAGGCGGAUUGGUAAGUCAGGGGUGAAAUCCCACAGCUCAACUGUGGAACUGCCUUUGAUACUGUCAGUCUAGAGUAUAGUUGAAGUGGGCGGAAUGUGUCAUGUAGCGGUGAAAUGCUUAGAUAUGACACAGAACACCGAUCGCGAAGGCAGCUCACUAAGCUAUAACUGACGCUCAUGCACGAAAGCGUGGGGAUCAAACAG
rnacentral:rRNA from 1 species